rnacentral:rRNA from 1 species
ACUAAACAGCUAGCUCAAACCAUUAAAACUAAAAUUGACAACAUAACCCAACCACCAAAAACUGACAACAUCAACUAAAUCAUUCGACCACCCUAGUACGGGCGACAG